rnacentral:rRNA from 1 species
GUGCCAGCAGCCGCGGUAAUACUGGAGGAUGCGAGCGUUAUCCGGAUUUAUUGGGUUUAAAGGGUGCGUAGGCUGGUAUUUAAGUCAGUGGUGAAAUUUCCCGGCUCAACCGGGAGGCUGCCAUAUGAUACUGGGUACCUUGAAGUUUAGUUGAUGUAGGGCGGAAUGUGUCAAUGUAGCGGUGAAAUGCAUAGAGAUGACACAGAACACCGAUAGCGAAGGCAGCUCACAAAACUAAUACUGACGCUGAGGCACGAAAGCGUGGGGAUCAAAGCAGGAUUAGAUACCCUGGUAGUCCACGCCGUAACACGAUGAUCACUAGCUGUAGGCGAUACACAGUCUGUGGCUAAGCGAAAGCGAUAAGUGAUCCACCUGGGGAGUACGUCCGCAAAGGAUGAAACUCAAAGGAAUUGACGGGGGCCCGCACAAGCGGAGGAGCAUGUGGUUUAAUUCGAUGAUACGCGAGGAACCUUACCUGGGCUUGAACGUAUGGUGCAUAAUGGUGAAAGCCAUUUUUCUAGCAAUAGACUUCAUACGAGGUGCUGCAUGGCUGUCGUCAGCUCGUGCCGUGAGGUGUUAGGUUAAGUCCUGCAACGAGCGCAACCCCUGUUUCCAGUUGCCAGCAAGUAAAGUUGGGGACUCUGGAGAGACUGCCUGCGCAAGCAGAGAGGAAGGUGGGGAUGACGUCAAGUCAGCACGGCCCUUACGUCCAGGGCUACACACGUGCUACAAUGGCCGGUACAGAGGGCAGCUACCUGGUGACAGGAUGCCAAUCUCCAAAGCCGGUCUCAGUUCGGAUCGGAGUCUGCAACUCGACUCCGUGAAGCUGGAUUCGCUAGUAAUCGGAUAUCAGCAAUGAUCCGGUGAAUACGUUCCCGGGCCUUGUACACACCGCCCGUCACACC